GACUAAUACCGCAUGAAGCAGGGGCCCCGGCCAUGGGGAUAUUUGCUAAAGAUUCAUCGCUGAUAGAUAGGCAUGCGUUCCAUUAGGCAGUUGGCGGGGUAACGGGCCCACCAAACCGACGAUGGAUAGGGGUUCUGAGAGGAAGGUCCCCCACAUUGGUACUGAGACACGGACCAAACUCCUACGGGAGGCAGCAUG
rnacentral:rRNA from 1 species